rnacentral:rRNA from 1 species
AUUGAACGCUGGCGGAAUGCUUUACACAUGCAAGUCGAACGGCUGCACGGACUUCGGUCUGGUGGCGAGUGGCGAACGGGUGAGUAAUGUAUCGGAACGUGCCCAGUCGUGGGGGAUAACGUAGUGAAAAUUACGCUAAUACCGCAUACGAUCUAUGGAUGACAGCGGGGGAUCGCAAGACCUCGCGCGAUGGGAGCGGCCGAUAUCAGACUAGGUAGUUGGUGGGGUAAAGGCCCACCAAGCCAACGAUCUGUAGCUGGUCUGAGAGGACGACCAGCCACACUGGAACUGAGACACGGUCCAGACUCCUACGGGAGGCAGCAGUGGGGAAUUUUGGACAAUGGGCGAAAGCCUGAUCCAGCCAUUCCGCGUGCAGGAUGAAGGCCCUCGGGUUGUAAACUGCUUUUGUACAGAACGAAAAGGUUUCUACUAAUACUAGGAGCUCAUGACGGUACUGUAAGAAUAAGCACCGGCUAACUACGUGCCAGCAGCCGCCGUAA